UUAAGUUAUUAAGGGCGCACGGUGGAUGCCUUGGCACUAGAAGCCGAUGAAGGACGUUACUAACGACGAUAUGCUUUGGGGAGCUGUAAGUAAGCUUUGAUCCAGAGAUUUCCGAAUGGGGAAACCCAACAUGAGUUAUGUCAUGUUAUCGAUAUGUGAAUACAUAGCAUAUCAGAAGGCACACCCGGAGAACUGAAACAUCUUAGUACCCGGAGGAAGAGAAAGAAAAUUCGAUUCCCUUAGUAGCGGCGAGCGAAACGGGAAGAGCCCAAACCAACAAGCUUGCUUGUUGGGGUUGUAGGACACUCUAUACGGAGUUACAAAGGACGACAUUAGACGAAUCAUCUGGAAAGAUGAAUCAAAGAAGGUAAUAAUCCUGUAGUCGAAAAUGUUGUCUCUCUUGAGUGGAUCCUGAGUACGACGGAGCACGUGAAAUUCCGUCGGAAUCUGGGAGGACCAUCUCCUAAGGCUAAAUACUCUCUAGUGACCGAUAGUGAACCAGUACCGUGAGGGAAAGGUGAAAAGCACCCCGGAAGGGGAGUGAAAUAGAACCUGAAACCGUGUGCUUACAAGUAGUCAGAGCCCGUUAAUGGGUGAUGGCGUGCCUUUUGUAGAAUGAACCGGCGAGUUACGAUUUGAUGCAAGGUUAAGCAGUAAAUGUGGAGCCGUAGCGAAAGCGAGUCUGAAUAGGGCGUUUAGUAUUUGGUCGUAGACCCGAAACCAGGUGAUCUACCCUUGGUCAGGUUGAAGUUCAGGUAACACUGAAUGGAGGACCGAACCGACUUACGUUGAAAAGUGAGCGGAUGAACUGAGGGUAGCGGAGAAAUUCCAAUCGAACCUGGAGAUAGCUGGUUCUCUCCGAAAUAGCUUUAGGGCUAGCCUCAAGUGAUGAUUAUUGGAGGUAGAGCACUGUUUGGACGAGGGGCCCCUCUCGGGUUACCGAAUUCAGACAAACUCCGAAUGCCAAUUAAUUUAACUUGGGAGUCAGAACAUGGGUGAUAAGGUCCGUGUUCGAAAGGGAAACAGCCCAGACCACCAGCUAAGGUCCCAAAAUAUAUGUUAAGUGGAAAAGGAUGUGGCGUUGCCCAGACAACUAGGAUGUUGGCUUAGAAGCAGCCAUCAUUUAAAGAGUGCGUAAUAGCUCACUAGUCGAGUGACACUGCGCCGAAAAUGUACCGGGGCUAAACAUAUUACCGAAGCUGUGGAUUGUCCUUUGGACAAUGGUAGGAGAGCGUUCUAAGGGCGUUGAAGCAUGAUCGUAAGGACAUGUGGAGCGCUUAGAAGUGAGAAUGCCGGUGUGAGUAGCGAAAGACGGGUGAGAAUCCCGUCCACCGAUUGACUAAGGUUUCCAGAGGAAGGCUCGUCCGCUCUGGGUUAGUCGGGUCCUAAGCUGAGGCCGACAGGCGUAGGCGAUGGAUAACAGGUUGAUAUUCCUGUACCACCUAUAAUCGUUUUAAUCGAUGGGGGGGACGCAGUAGGAUAGGCGAAGCGUGCGAUUGGAUUGCACGUCUAAGCAGUAAGGCUGAGUAUUAGGCAAAUCCGGUACUCGUUAAGGCUGAGCUGUGAUGGGGAGAAGACAUUGUGUCUUCGAGUCGUUGAUUUCACACUGCCGAGAAAAGCCUCUAGAUAGAAAAUAGGUGCCCGUACCGCAAACCGACACAGGUAGUCAAGAUGAGAAUUCUAAGGUGAGCGAGCGAACUCUCGUUAAGGAACUCGGCAAAAUGACCCCGUAACUUCGGGAGAAGGGGUGCUCUUUAGGGUUAACGCCCAGAAGAGCCGCAGUGAAUAGGCCCAAGCGACUGUUUAUCAAAAACACAGGUCUCUGCUAAACCGUAAGGUGAUGUAUAGGGGCUGACGCCUGCCCGGUGCUGGAAGGUUAAGAGGAGUGGUUAGCUUCUGCGAAGCUACGAAUCGAAGCCCCAGUAAACGGCGGCCGUAACUAUAACGGUCCUAAGGUAGCGAAAUUCCUUGUCGGGUAAGUUCCGACCCGCACGAAAGGCGUAACGAUUUGGGCACUGUCUCAACGAGAGACUCGGUGAAAUCAUAGUACCUGUGAAGAUGCAGGUUACCCGCGACAGGACGGAAAGACCCCGUGGAGCUUUACUGUAGCCUGAUAUUGAAAUUCGGCACAGCUUGUACAGGAUAGGUAGGAGCCUUUGAAACGUGAGCGCUAGCUUACGUGGAGGCGCUGGUGGGAUACUACCCUAGCUGUGUUGGCUUUCUAACCCGCACCACUUAUCGUGGUGGGAGACAGUGUCAGGCGGGCAGUUUGACUGGGGCGGUCGCCUCCUAAAAGGUAACGGAGGCGCUCAAAGGUUCCCUCAGAAUGGUUGGAAAUCAUUCAUAGAGUGUAAAGGCAUAAGGGAGCUUGACUGCGAGACCUACAAGUCGAGCAGGGUCGAAAGACGGACUUAGUGAUCCGGUGGUUCCGCAUGGAAGGGCCAUCGCUCAACGGAUAAAAGCUACCCCGGGGAUAACAGGCUUAUCUCCCCCAAGAGUUCACAUCGACGGGGAGGUUUGGCACCUCGAUGUCGGCUCAUCGCAUCCUGGGGCUGUAGUCGGUCCCAAGGGUUGGGCUGUUCGCCCAUUAAAGCGGUACGCGAGCUGGGUUCAGAACGUCGUGAGACAGUUCGGUCCCUAUCCGUCGUGGGCGUAGGAAAUUUGAGAUGAGCUGUCCUUAGUACGAGAGGACCGGGAUGGACAUACCUCUGGUGUACCAGUUGUCGUGCCAACGGCAUAGCUGGGUAGCUAUGUGUGGACGGGAUAAGUGCUGAAAGCAUCUAAGCAUGAAGCCCCCCUCAAGAUGAGAUUUCCCAACUUCGGUUAUAAGAUCCCUCAAAGAUGAUGAGGUUAAUAGGUUCGAGGUGGAAGCAUGGUGACAUGUGGAGCUGACGAAUACUAAUCGAUCGAAGACUUAAUCAA
rnacentral:rRNA from 1 species